UUAAUUAAACAUUCUCGUUGAGCCAAAAGGCCAUCGAAAGACCACGGGGGCAAAGUCACGCCCUCCAUCCUAAUCUUCCUAAGACGUCUUCGCCCAGCCAAAGGAGACGACACGCAUAACACCUAUACAACGGAGUCACCUAUAAGAGAGGACCACCGGACGAUAGGAUUUAUUAAUUUAUAUACUACGAAUAACUGAAGAAAAGAACGACGCAGAAGCUCAAGGCGAGCAGUAACAACAAAAGUCAGCGGCAUACAAUAAAACACGUGAAACGUGACAAAUUCCAAAGCGAAACAGAAGUCAACUGGGCGGCGGCUGCGUGAGCGAGAGAGAGAGAGAGCGCGAGAGAGUGCGAAUUGAUAACCGGCGCUUGGCAACAACAAUCCCAAAGCCAAACAACACACACAUGCACUCUCUACUCGGCCGACAUUUUGUUUUUAUUACAGAGCGCAACAGUCGCGGCUUUUGUUGUUGUUUCUAUGAGGGCUUCACUUUAAAAAACGAAAUAAUAAUCAUAUGCUACGUCGGCCCCCUCUCUCUCUCGCUCGAACUUGAUCCAUUUGCUUUUCGUUUUUAAUCGAGACACGUUGAAAGUGGCAAACUAACCAAAACGUACAAAAAAAUAAUAAUAAAUAACAACUCAAAAUUCGUGACGCAUGACGUAAUUUCUCACGCGAGCCGAGCAUGUCAGCGAUUUGACACACACACAAGCGCACAUCUACACACACACUCACACGCACACCAGUGCAGCACUCAGUUGAUUCGGAUUUAAACAGUUCGAGCUCCAUAACAUGAACUAAUAUACCAACGAUUUCUUUUUUCAAAGGAAUUUUAAUUUUAACCAAAUGUUACCAUAUUAUUUGAAAACCUUUUGAAUUAUUGGUAAUACAUUUUAUAAAUCCAUAUUUUGCCAGUUUUAAUCACACUUAAGUUAGUUCGCGUUAAGCAGUGCUUACUGUGUCUCUUUGUGCUGGGCUUUCCAGCGUGUUGAUUGUAUUUAAAUGGCUCUCGGCUAUUUUUAGCCGCCCCAAAGGUCACACCAACACAAAAACAGGGUCCGUAAGCCGUACUCCACACUCCGUAAGCUCCAAAUCUGGUAAAUGUGAUCUGCGAUGACGAAUAACUCAGACGUGUUCAAUUGGGCACUGGGCUCUUGCAUAAGAGCGUAGCUUGUUUUUGUUUUGGUUUCGGCAUUUCGGCGAUCUCUCGCUUUAAUUGCAGUGCGGCGGCACGUGCAUCUGGUGUCGCCUUGCACGGCGUUACGUAUACGCCCCGUUCGGAUGUUACACAUACGCCCGGUUGGUGGUUGGUAGCAGCAGGGCACGUGCAAAGGCGCAAAAACUGGCUCGGGUUACUCAUGUGCCACAUUCUCGUAAUAACGCCCCACUUCCCCCCACCCACUCCAUGCAAUCUUAUCGCACUUGUAAUACAUUUACUUGCUCACAUGCUCCGACGUUUUUUCGGUCACGUGUUGUGUCCAUCGAAAUUGUAACGUAGUUCGGUGAAUUUCCACGAAUUGAAAUUUAUUCGUUUUCAUAUUGCAGCAAAUGUGGCUAAAAUGGAGUUGAAACUGUGUGACGAGCCCCGUGCACUUGUGGAUUGUUUACGUGUUUUCUCGUGUUUUCUAGCAGCUUAUCUAUCUCCGUCUGUAUUUGCUGUUUACCCCGCGAUUGCAUGGCUAAAGUUUAAUCACGAAAGCCGGAGGAAAACCCCAAACGACAACAAUUGCGACUGGCGUAGCUGGUGAAACUAUUUUUAAGAUACUUUUGUAAGCACUGCAUUGUGGAAUCCAUGGCGGAGUGGCGGCUAUGAAAUGAAAUGGAAUGUUAAGUAGAAAUCAAAUAAAUAAACAAUGGAAAUUGAAA